rnacentral:rRNA from 1 species
GAUGAAUGCUGGCGGCGUGCCUAACACAUGCAAGUCGAGCGGCAGCGCGGGUAGUUUACUACCUGGCGGCGAGCGGCGGACGGCUGAGUAACGCGUAGGAACGUGCCCCAAAGUGAGGAAUAACUGCCCGAAAGGGUGGCUAAUGCCGCAUAUGGUCUUCGGAUUAAAGUCUUCGGACGCUUUGGGAGCGGCCUGCGUUAGAUUAGGUAGUUGGUAGGGUAAUGGCCUACCAAGCCGACGAUCUAUAGCUGGUCUGAGAGGAUGAUCAGCCAGACUGGAACUGAGACACGGUCCAGACUCCUACGGGAGGCAGCAGUGAGGAAUCUUCCACAAUGGGCGAAAGCCUGAUGGAGCAACGCCGCGUGAAGGAUGAAGGCCCUAGGGUUGUAAACUUCUUUUAUAAGUGAAGAAUAUGACGGUAACUUAUGAAUAAGCACCGGCUAACUACGUGCCAGCAGCCGCAGUAA